CUAAUACAUGCAAGUCGAGCGAAUGGAUUAAGAGCUUUGCUCUUAUGAAGUUAGCGGCGGACGGGUGAGUAACACGUGGGUAACCUGCCCAUAAGACUGGGAUAACUCCGGGAAACCGGGGCUAAUACCGGAUAAUAUUUUGAACUGCAUGGUUCGAAAUUGAAAGGCGGCUUCGGCUGUCACUUAUGGAUGGACCCGCGUCGCAUUAGCUAGUUGGUGAGGUAACGGCUCACCAAGGCAACGAUGCGUAGCCGACCUGAGAGGGUGAUCGGCCACACUGGGACUGAGACACGGCCCAGACUCCUACGGGAGGCAGCAGUAGGGAAUCUUCCGCAAUGGACGAAAGUCUGACGGAGCAACGCCGCGUGAGUGAUGAAGGCUUUCGGGUCGUAAAACUCUGUUGUUAGGGAA
rnacentral:rRNA from 1 species